AUUGAACGCUGGCGGCAGGCCUAACACAUGCCAGUCGAACGGUAACAGGAAACAGCUUGCUGUUUCGCUGACGCGUGGCGGGCGGGUGUGUCAUGUCUGGGAAACUCCCUGAUGGCGGGGGAUAACUACUGGAAACGGUAGCUAUUACCGCAUAACGUCUCAAGCCCAUAGAGGGGGACCUUCAGGCGUCUUUCCAUCGGCUGUUCCCUGACGGGAUUAGCUAGUAGGUGGGGUAACGGCUCACCUAGGCCACGAUCCCUAGCUGGUCUGAGAGGUUGACCAGCCACACUGGAACUGAGACACGGUCCAGACUCCUACGGGAGGCAGCAGUGGGGAAUAUUGCGCAAUGGGCGAAAGCCUGAUGGAGCAAUGCCGCGUGUGUGAAGAAGGUCUUCGGAUUGUAAAACUCUGUCAGCGGGGAGGAAGAAAGGUAUGAGAAUACCUGCACGCAUUGACGGUACCUGAAGAGGAAGCACCGGCUAACUACGUG
rnacentral:rRNA from 1 species